UACGUAGGUGGCAAGCGUUAUCCGGAAUUACUGGGCGUAAAGGGCUCGUAGGCGGCCAACUAAGUCAGACGUGAAAUCCCUCGGCUUAACCGGGGAACUGCGUCUGAUACUGGAUGGCUAGAGGUUGGGAGAGGGAUGCGGAAUUCCAGGUGUAGCGGUGAAAUGCGUAGAUAUCUGGAGGAACACCGGUGGCGAAGGCGGCAUCCUGGACCAACACUGACACUGAUGAGCGAAAGCCAGGGGAGCAAACGGG
rnacentral:rRNA from 1 species